rnacentral:rRNA from 1 species
GGGUUUCACCAGAAGUAGGUAGCCUAACCGCAAGGAGGGCGCUUACCACGGUARGRUCAGCGACUGGGGUGAAGUCGUAACAAGGUAGCYGUAGGUGAACCUGCAGAAGGAUCA